rnacentral:rRNA from 1 species
AGGUUAUCGCACUGUUGGAUAUGUGCGUUUAAGUUGGUAGGUGGGAAGUUUAGGCAAAUCCGGACUUCCUUAACACAGAGAGAUGAUGACGAGGCUCUACGGAGCUGAAGUAACUGAUACCACACUUCCAGGAAAAGCCACUAAGCGAAAGGCUUUACUAAACCGUACUGAAAACCGACACAGGUGGUCAGGUAGAGAAUACUCAGGCGCUUGAGAGAACUCGGGUGAAGGAACUAGGCAAAAUAGCACCGUAACUUCGGGAGAAGGUGCGCCGGCGUAGAUUGUAGUCCCUUGCGGAUGAAGGUUGAACCGGUCGAAGUGACCCGCUGGCUGCAACUGUUUAUUAAAAACACAGCACUCUGCAAACACGAAAGUGGACGUAUAGGGUGUGAUGCCUGCCCGGUGCUGGAAGGUUAAUUGAUGGUGUAAUCGCAAGAGAAGCACCUGAUCGAAGCCCCAGUAAACGGCGGCCGUAACUAUAACGGUCCUAAGGUAGCGAAAUUCCUUGUCGGGUAAGUUCCGACCUGCACGAAUGGCAUAAUGAUGGCCAGGCUGUCUCCACCCGAGACUCAGUGAAAUUGA